CUCCUACGGGAGGCAGCAGUGGGGAAUCUUCCGCAAUGGGCGAAAGCCUGACGGAGCAAUGCCGCGUGAGUGAUGAAGGAAUUCGUUCCGUAAAGCUCUUUUGUUUAUGACGAAUGUGCAGAUUGUGAAUAAUGACCUGUAAUGACGGUAGUAAACGAAUAAGCCACGGCUAACUACGUGCCAGCAGCCGCGGUAAUACGUAGGUGGCGAGCGUUGUCCGGAAUUAUUGGGCGUAAAGAGCAUGUAGGCGGUUUUUUAAGUCUGGAGUGAAAAUGCGGGGCUCAACCCCGUAUGGCUCUGGAUACUGGAAGACUUGAGUGCAGGAGAGGAAAGGGGAAUUCCCAGUGUAGCGGUGAAAUGCGUAGAUAUUGGGAGGAACACCAGUGGCGAAGGCGCCUUUCUGGACUGUGUCUGACGCUGAGAUGCGAAAGCCAGGGUAGCGAACGGGAUUAGAUACCCCGGUAGUCCUGGCCGUAAACGAUGGGUACUAGGUGUAGGAGGUAUCGACCCCUUCUGUGCCGGAGUUAACGCAAUAAGUACCCCGCCUGGGGAGUACGUCCGCAAGGAUGAAACUCAAAGGAAUUGACGGGGGCCCGCACAAGCGGUGGAGUAUGUGGUUUAAUUCGACGCAACGCGAAGAACCUUACCAAGGCUUGACAUUGAAUGACCGCUUCAGAGAUGGAGCUUUCCCUUCGGGGACAUGAAAACAGGUGGUGCAUGGCUGUCGUCAGCUCGUGUCGUGAGAUGUUGGGUUAAGUCCCGCAACGAGCGCAACCCCUAUCCUAUGUUACCAGCGGGUAAUGCCGGGGACUCAUAGGAGACUGCCAAGGACAACUUGGAGGAAGGCGGGGAUGACGUCAAGUCAUCAUGCCCCUUAUGUCUUGGGCUACACACGUACUACAAUGGUCGGCAACAGAGGGAAGCGAAGCCGUGAGGCAGAGCAAACCCCAGAAACCCGAUCUCAGUUCGGAUUGCAGGCUGCAACUCGCCUGCAUGAAGUCGGAAUCGCUAGUAAUCGCAGGUCAGCAUACUGCGGUGAAUACGUUCCCGGGCCUUGUACACACCGCCCGUCACACCACGAAAGUUGGUAACACCCGAAGCCGGUGGGGUAACCGUAAGGAGCCAGCCGUCUAAGGUGGGGCCGAUGAUUGGGGUGAAGUCGUAACAAGGUAGCCGUAUCGGAAGGGGCGGCUG
rnacentral:rRNA from 1 species